rnacentral:rRNA from 1 species
AUGCAUACUUUCUGGUGCAACAGCAAGCGUUGGAGGAUUUUAGCGCCAAACAGGACAAAGCUAAUAAGCUUGCUAAGAUUAUUGCCAGCAUGGUGGAUACCACGUUUCUUGAGCUCUUAUGAAGUUGUUUCAGUUAUGCUCUUGUUUUGCUGCCGCGUUUAUUUGCACUGGUGGCCAAUUUUGACGGCCAGUGUAUGUAAUAUGCUGCUUUGUUCCCUAUAUUUGCACUGGUGGCGAACUUUGAUGCCCAGUGGAUGUAAUAUGUGUAAUAGCGGUAAUAGGCUAGCGUUAAUUGCUUGCUUAUUUAUUUAUUUCCUUAUUGUCUUGUUUAGUUGUUUGCUUGUAGUCACUGCAGUUCUUUUUCUGUGUUUUCUAGUGGCCACAAUAACCUAUUUUUGGAAACUAGGCCAAAAUAAUCAUGGCAACACAUGGACUGUUGUAACCACGGGCCUCCUGCGGGCCGUAUGA